rnacentral:lncRNA from 1 species
GCAUACCUUGUCCUUUAGAAGAAUCCCCACCAAAAACUCCGCCCAAAAAUCCUUCAAAAUUUUUAUUUUCGUUUUCCAUAAAAUAAAGAUAAAAUCAACCGAAAUCCAAUACCUUCCACCUCAAGCUUUCACGUCAGGUUCACCACUUUUGUCGUAUUACGUGCUUUCCUGCUCGAGAACGCAUCGGGCGUCUAGCUGUAGAAGGUAGUAUGGAGAUUCGCCAAUAUUCAAGCAGUUUAUCGAUUUUUGACUGUUGGAAUACAAACAACUGCAAGA